CGGAACACGUACACAACCUUCCGAUAAGUGGGGAAUAGCCCAGAGAAAUUUGGAUUAAUACCCCGUAACAUAUAGAGUAGGCAUCCUCUUUAUAUUAUAGCUUCGGCGCUUAUUGAUGGGUGUGCGUCUGAUUAGGUAGUUGGCGGGGUAACGGCCCACCAAGCCUACGAUCAGUAGCUGAUGUGAGAGCAUGAUCAGCCACACGGGCACUGAGACACGGGCCCG
rnacentral:rRNA from 1 species